UGCUGAGAUUGAUGAGCUCACUUGGUUUUCUGUCCUCCUCAAAGCCUAGUUUUUAGGCAUUUCUUUGAUUUGGAAUCAAAGCUCACUAGGUUCAUGGCUUCAGCUUCCACCCAGAAGGAGAAAUCAUAGAACAGGAGGAGCCAAGAUGGUGGAACAGCAUGGAGGUUUUUUGUGUGUCUUGCAUCCAUGAAAUACAGCCAGACCAACACUAAAUCCUGCACACCUGGAAAACUGAUUGGAGGAUUAACACAGCAA